GAUGAACGCUGGCGGCGUGCCUAAUACAUGCGAGUCGAGCGAACAGAUAAGGAGCUUGCUCCUUUGACGUUAGCGGCGGACGGGUGAGUAACACGUGGGUAACCUACCUAUAAGGCUAGGAUAACUUCGGGAAACCGGAGCUAAUACCGGAUAAUAUUUCGAACCGCAUGGUUCGAUAGUGAAAGAUGGUUUUGCUAUCACUUAUAGAUGGACCCGCGCCGUAUUAGCUAGUUGGUAAGGUAACGGCUUACCAAGGCGACGAUACGUAGCCGACCUGAGAGGGUGAUCGGCCACACUGGAACUGAGACACGGUCCAGACUCCUACGGGAGGCAGCAGUAGGGAAUCUUCCGCAAUGGGCGAAAGCCUGACGGAGCAACGCCGCGUGAGUGAUGAAGGUCUUCGGAUCGUAAAACUCUGUUAUUAGGGAAGAACAUACGUGUAAGUAACUGUGCACGUCUUGACGGUACCUAAUCAGAAAGCCACGGCUAACUACGUG
rnacentral:rRNA from 1 species